CUUUGUCCUCUUUGGAAAAUAUGAUCUUUUUUUUUCCUAUUCCUCAUUUACCUCUCUUCUAAAGAAAACAUUUUUUGAUAUGCCUGUAGUGAGCCAGAGGAUGUUUGCGUGAGUGGAAGCGCUCUCAGGGUGAGGAGAGAAGCAGAUGGGCUGACAUGGUGGAGCGAGGGCAGCUCCAGCCUGCGUUUGGGGAGAGUGUGCAGAAAAAUGGCUGACAUCUCCCUGCUGGCGAAUGCAUGAUGGGCGUCCUCCUCUGCAAUUUGACUCUUGAAAACGGGAAAUAAGAUGUAGAAAAUUGCCAGAUGUCUUCAGCUCAGCACUGGAUGCCUUUCCAAUAGACAAAUACAAGCGAUUAACUUCACAGAAUGUCUGUGAGUUGAAAUUCAGACAAAGAUAAAAUGAUACAUUCUGGCCUUCAGAACUCAAAGCAUUGGAGAUGGGGACCCUGGACAUAAGCUUGUUUGUAGUACAUGUGAAAAAGGUACUUCAUUUCAUGUCCUGAAGAAUGACAAUUAUUUUUUUUUAACGUGUUUUUUUUCUCUCUCUGUUGGCUAUGUUCAAGAAACCAUAUACAUAACAUCAGAAAGGGUGACUUAAGAUCAGAUCUAUUGACAUAAUUAACUUAUUUGCAAACAGUUUAAUGUAUUUUUGUCUGAGCCUGCCUUCUUGCACACACCAAAACUAUCCUUAUUCAACUCCUUGUGAAUUAGGGUGUACAGCAAAUAAAGGAACAAUCAUCUAGUCCAAACAUAUUUGCAUUCUUAAUAUGGUGCACACAUUCAGGCAAGCGGCAAUUUGCAUGAGGACCAUGAGCCAAAUUCAGUUCUGACAGUAGUAGGCAUAACUUUAUUCAAACCAGACAAGCAGCAGGCAUUUACAAGGGGCAAGAAUAGGUGCUCUGUGUUUGCUGCAUGUCCAUGCUCCAGCAUAAUGCAUUGCUGUUGCUUAAAACUUCACAUUUUUCUUAGACCAGAGGUUAUCAAAACCAAGUGCAAGUUUCAUCUACAAGUUUGGAUAUGUAUGCAGUAGCUGGGAAGAUAUACAUCUUGCUUUUACACCUAGAUUUCAGUGUGAAUAAUAAUCAUACUUUAAAAAAUUAUUCUUUUUGCAGGCUUUUAUAACUGGAAUUAGAUGAGAAGAAUUAUACCAGGAUGCCUCUGGUCACCCUCAAAGCAUCCUUGUAAAUUCAGUCACAAGCAUAAGCAGCUUCAUUCUGUCCAAAGAAUUAGCAUUUUUUUAAGUGCUCAUUUUCCAAGUAUUCUUACUAAUACUUUAAUGGCUGUUGUAUACCCCAGUGCUGUGGAGCUGACUGAUGUGUCUUGCUGUGUUUCAGCGAAUGUUGUGAGGAAUCUACAGCAAUUAGCUACUCAUGCCUCUGCUUUCCUGUUUUGUGCCUUCCCUUUCAUGUAUCAGAUGUUUGUAAGUUUUCCAUUAGACAUUUCCUGCUUCUAAUAGAUGUUUGUGAGGCUUUUGCUUUGAGCUAUCAGGGCUCCAAUUUGUGCUGAGAUGUUUGGUUUUGUUUUAGGGCUGAGAGGUCUUUGUACUCCUUUCUUCCUAGAAAACAUUAUAAUCUGGAAAAAAUAAAUAAAUUGUACUUUGCAAAAAGUGAA